rnacentral:lncRNA from 1 species
CAGUUAUUGUUGGUUUAGCUUUUUUACAUGUUGGUGAUUCCAAAGACAAUAAUGAUAAAGUUACAAAUAUCAAUGGUGCUAUCUUUUUUACUGUGACCACAAUGUCGUUUAUAUCAAUUACAGGCUCACUUUUUGUGUUUCCGGCAGAAAUACCUGUUUUUUUAAAAGAGCAUGAUCUUGGAAUGUAUAGGACAGAUGUCUACUUUUUAUCAAAACUUAUAGCAGAAUUUCCUUCAUAUUUAAUUGGGCCGAUUCUUUAUUCAGUAAUUUAUUACUUUAUGGUUGG